rnacentral:tRNA from 1 species
CCUACUUAACUCAAUGGUUAGAGUAUCGCUUUCAUACGGCGAGAGUCAUUGGUUCAAAUCCAAUAGUAGGUA